AGCUAUCGCUGAAGGAUGAGUCCGCGUACCAUUAGCUAGUUGGUAGGGUAAUGGCCUACCAAGGCAACGAUGGUUAGCUGGUCUGAGAGGAUGAUCAGCCACACUGGAACUGAGACACGGUCCAGACUCCUACGGGAGGCAGCAGUGAGGAAUAUUGCGCAAUGGGGGCAACCCUGACGCAGCAACGCCGCGUGAGUGAGGAAGGUUUUCGGACCGUAAAGCUCUGUCGAGCGGGAAGAAAUGCAUAGUGGCUAAUAUCCAUUAUGCUUGACGGUACCGCUAAAGGAAGCACCGGCUAACUCCGUGCCAGCAGCCGCGGUAAUACGGGGGGUGCUAGCGUUGUUCGGAAUCAUUGGGCGUAAAGAGCGUGUAGGCGGCUGGAUAAGUCAGAUGUGAAAGCCCUGGGCUUAACCCAGGAAGUGCAUUUGAAACUGUUCAGCUUGAGUAAGGGAGAGGAAAGUGGAAUUCCUGGUGUAGAGGUGAAAUUCGUAGAUAUCAGGAGGAACACCGGUGGCGAAGGCGACUUUCUGGCCCUAUACUGACGCUGAGACGCGAGAGCGUGGGUAGCAAACAGGAUUAGAUACCCUGGUAGUCCACGCUGUAAACGAUGUUCACUAGGUGUUGGGGGUAUUGACCCUCUCAGUGCCGCAGCUAACGCA
rnacentral:rRNA from 1 species